rnacentral:pre_miRNA from 1 species
UCCUACAAAUUUUAUUAAUUUGUACUAUUAAAAACAAGUAUGAAUGAUAAAAUAACCAAAUAAUAACACGUGACAUGUCCUCAUGCUGAUAUAGAGGGACCAAUUUUUAACACUAGAAAUUGAUACAAUUUUUAACA